UUAUGGCCAUAUCACAUUGAAAUACUAGUUCCCGUACGAUCACUGAAGUUAAGCAAUGUUGAGCCUGGUCAGUACCUAGAUGGGGGAAUGCUUAGGAAUACUGGGUGCUGUAA